UACGUAGGGCGCAAGCGUUGUCCGGAAUUAUUGGGCGUAAAGAGCUCGUAGGCGGUCUGUCGCGUCGGCUGUGAAAACCCGAGGCUCAACCUCGGGCCUGCAGUCGAUACGGGCAGACUAGAGUGCUGUAGGGGAGACUGGAAUUCCUGGUGUAGCGGUGAAAUGCGCAGAUAUCAGGAGGAACACCGAUGGCGAAGGCAGGUCUCUGGGCAUUAACUGACGCUGAGGAGCGAAAGCAUGGGGAGCGAACAGG
rnacentral:rRNA from 1 species